rnacentral:rRNA from 1 species
GACCGUGCAAAGGUAGCAUAAUCAUUUGCCUUAUAAUUGAAGGCUAGUAUGAAUGGUUUGACGAGAAUUAAGCUGUCUCUUUUCAAUUAAAUAUAAUUUUAUCCAUAGGUGAAGAAGCCUAUAUUACAUUGAAAGACAAGAAGACCCUAUCGAGCUUUAAGAAAUUUAUUAAACUCACUAUAUAUUUAUAAAAAAAUGAGAUUACUAAAAACUUUGGUUGGGGCGACUGAGGAACAAAUAAAGCUUCCUUUCUAUUGAAAAAACUUACAAGUACUGAUCCAAUAAAUUUGAUUAAAGGAAUUAGUUACCGUAGGGAUAACAGCAUAAUCCUCUUUGAGAGUCCUUAUCGAAAAGGGGGUUUGUGACCUCGAUGUUGGACCAGAAUACCCAGAAGAUGCAGCCGUCUUCAAUGGUUGGUCUGUUCGACCAUUAAAAUUCUACGUGAUCUGAGUUCAGACCGGCGUGAGCCAGGUCAGUUUCUAUCUUCAAUUUUCAUGAUGACUUUAGUACGAAAGGACCAAGCUAUCACAAAACAUUAUGUAAAGAACUGAUUUAAUAUAAAGAAUAAUUAAACUGAUAGAUAUCAAAUUAGCAAAGAUUAAUGCAAUUGACUUAGGAUCAAUAGACAUAGGUGAAACCCCUUUAUUUGAUAUAUAAAGAUGGCAGAAAAA